GACACGGUGGUCUAGCGGUUAGAACGCUGGCCUUGUAAUCCUGGGGUCUCGGGUUCGAUUCCCGGCGGUGCCC
rfam:Zootermopsis nevadensis contig27149, whole genome shotgun sequence.